rnacentral:snoRNA from 1 species
AAGCCAAAUGAUGUAUUCGGAUUUAAAAUCUCACGACGGUCGUCUGAGCACGAUUUGAUGCAGUAAUAAUCCAAUUUCUCUGAUGGUU